CCGAGUUUACAACUCCCAAACCCCAAUGUGAACAUUACCUUUUCUGUUGCCUCGGCGGGAUUCGCCCCGGGCGCGUCGCAGCCCCGGACCAAAGGCGCCCGCCGGAGGAAAACACCAAACUCUUUUAUCUGAACCUGCCUCUGGCGGGGGAAUUUAAAUACUUCUGAAAACUUCUUAAAUGAAUCA
rnacentral:misc_RNA from 1 species